CUGACAGAAAAAUAGUACUUUUUACAAAGCAAGGAAACCGAUAAAAUGUACAGUCGGUCAUUAGAAGGAUCGAUAGCAUUAUAGUGAUAUCAUGGCUGUAACAGCCCAUUAAUUUAUAGCGUCUAGAUCGCUAAUGACACACUUGAACUCGUUAAAGGACCACUAUAGUGCCAGGAAAACAAACUCGUUUUCCUGGCACUAUAGUGCCCUGAGGGUGCCCCCACCCUCAGGGUCCCACUCCCACUGGGCUGAAGGGAGAGGAAGGGGGUUAAACACUCACCUUUCUCCAGCGACGGGCUCCCUCGGCGCUGGGGACUCUCCUCCUUCUGCCGACGUCAUCGGCUGAAUGCGCAUGCGCGGCAAGAGCCACACGUGCAUUCAGCCAGUCCAUAGGAAAGCAUUCUCAAUGCUUUCCUAUGGACGCUGGUAUCUUCUCACUGUGAAAAUCACAGUGAGAAGCGCGGAAGCGCCUCUAGCGGCUGUCAAUGAGACAGCCACUAGAGGCUGGUUUAAC